ensembl:miRNA
GAGGUGGGAGGAUCUGCUUGAGCAGAGGAGGUUGAGGCUGCAAUGAGCUGUGAUCACACCACUGCACUCCAGCCUGAGUGACAGAGGGAGACCUUGUCUCA